rnacentral:rRNA from 1 species
CCCCUAGACGUUCUGGGCUGCACGCGCGCUACAAUAAUACGCACAGCGAGUAUCACCGAGCUCGAAAGGGCAAGGUAAACAAUAGAAAAGGUACUGUAAUGGUCAUAGAUCCUUGUAAUUAUUGAUCUUCAACGAGGAAUUCCUAGUAAGUAUGUGUCAUCAUCACGCACUGAUUACGUCCCUGCCCUUUGUACACACCGCCCGUCGCUCCUACCGAUUGGGUGAGCCGAUGAAACUCUCGGAUGUAGGCUAUUCAUAGCCCGCAGAAGAGAUUUGAAUCGUAGCGCUUAGAGGAAGGAGAAGUCGUAACA